AUGUGGGAAUCUGCCUUUUGGUUUGGAAUAACACGGGGAAACUUGUGCUAAUACCGAAUAAGCCUUCACAGGGAAAGUUUUAACGCCGAAAGAUGAGCCCGCACUUGAUUAGCUAGUUGGUAAGGUAAAAGCUUACCAAGGCAAUGAUCAAUAGCUGUUCUUAGAGGAAGACCAGCCACAUUGGGACUGAGACACGGCCCAAACUCCUACGGGAGGCAGCAGUGGGGAAUCUUGCACAAUGGAGGAAACUCUGAUGCAGCGAUGCCGCGUGAGUGAAGAAGGCCUUUGGGUUGUAAAGCUCUUUCGUCGGG
rnacentral:rRNA from 1 species